rnacentral:lncRNA from 1 species
GUGCAGCUGCUGGCGUGACCACCCAGGACAUCAGCAGCUCCCCAGGCAAUGUGGUGAGUUCCCCAGCAAAUCCAUCAUCCCCAGGUGAGUGAUUCCCUCCUACACCCCCAGAAACCCGAGCAUGGGGAGUGGGUGUGCUGUGCUGCCUUCCCCAGGGCAUGGGGACAAGCAGGAUCUUUACCAGGCAGGAGCUGUGCCAGCUGCAUGGGCACGUCCUGCUCGCUGCCUCUCCCCAUCACACCCAGCUGCCCUCACACCCUCUGUCCCACAGCCCCAUAUGCCUUGAUCCCGCACGCCCUCCCCAAAACCAUGGCGCUGGCAGUGGCGGCCGUCAGCCUCGUCCUCCUGGCUGCAGGCAGCUGGUUUGCCAUCAGGAAAGGUGCGUGCAGAGGGAGAUGCCCAAGGUGGCAACCUCACCACAAACGCACACCCUAGAGCCAUUCCAUUCCUCUCCAGGCAGCAGCACGUUGACAGCCCACAGAUUGAAACCACAGACCAUGAUGAAGUCACAUGUGAGUACUACCUCCUCCCUUGGCGGAAGCCAUGCAUCCAUCUCAGGUGGAAUCCCACCACUUCAUUUCCCACUGGGAUAUACAAAAUCCCUGCCUGUUCAUCAAGGCCAGGUUUCUCUCCAGCACCUCAUGUCCUGCUUCUUCCUUGCAUGCAGAGCACGGCUGCUGGCUGCACAAGGGACAUGGCAGCAUCCCAGUGCUCCCAGGGACAAAGACCCAUUACUUGGGGCUCCUUCCACACCAGCUCCAGCCCCUGGCUGCAUUCCCCAUGCUUCAGCCUCUUCUUUUUUCCUUUCUUCCGUUUCUCUUCAGUGUCAUUUCUGCUUCAAUAACUACACAAAGUACAUCACAGCAACGAAAGCUGUCGCUCUGUUUCCUUGCACUGCUGGGGAAAAUAUUUUAUAGCUCAUUCUGAAACCACAGGCAGCAGCCAAGGGAGGAUGUUGUGGUUGGGCGACAGGCUAUAGAUAUAUCACCACCUGAUUUGCACUUAGGACGAGUUGCGGCACAACCUUGUUUACCCACGCCUGCAGAGAGCAGUUUGCAAGGUGUGUUGGCUGUGCAAAGAGAGGCGAUGCCACAGAAUGGUGGAAAGACACCAAAACCUCAGCAUCUCUGCUCCACUGCUGCUUAAUUCACGUCCCAGAUCAGGGUGAUGGGAGGGGAAAUGUGGUCAGGCAUUGAGUUUUAACCCCAGGCAGAUGAUACCCAAAGCUCACGGGGGUUCACCCCCCUCCAAUCCGCAAGGGCUCAUGGUGUGUUUUUUCCCCACAGACUCCACCAUCGCCCAUGUUCGACGAGACAGGGUGAGUCGUGGCACAGCUGUGCACAGCUCCUUUCUGCACUCCUGCAGCCUGGUGCACGCACAUUGUGCAGGGCUCACAGUCACACCUGAAGUAACAGGGUUUCUUUUCUCCCUAAAGCCUCGUCCUGUGCAGCACAUGAGCGACACCACGACGUAUGCCACGGUGAUCUGCACCCAGACCUGAUAGAGCUGCCACAGGGCAAGGGCACAGGAGCCUUGUCCACAGCUGCCUUUGCUCUCCUGUAGAGUUCUUGUGCAGUCAUAUCAUGGGGCUGAGGGUUCCACUUUGGGCUUCUCUGGGGUUUUCUGUCACAGGGAAGGGCUGUGUGUGUCUAGCCAAGAGGAUGAAGGACUCAUAUGUCUUUUAUUAAUAAAUUAAUACCUCUAAAAUAUAUCA